CUCCUUUUGAGCAUGACGUUUAUUCGUCCUGUCGGGCGUCCUCACAAAUUACCUGCAUUCAGAGAUUCAUACCGGCACAGGUCGGUAUGCGAAGUCCCUUUUGGGGCCUUAGCUCAGCUGGGAGAGCACCUGCUUUGCAAGCAGGGGGUCGUCGGUUCGAUCCCGACAGGCUCCACCAUAUUGAGUGAAAAGACUUCGGGUCUGUAGCUCAGGUGGUUAGAGCGCACCCCUGAUAAGGGUGAGGUCGGUAGUUCGAGUCUACCCAGACCCACCACUCUGAAUGUAGUGCACACUUAAGAAUUUAUAUGGAUCAGCGUUGAGGCUGAGACAUGUUCUUUUAUAACUUGUGACGUAGCGAGCGUUUGAGAUAUCUAUCUAAACGUGUCGUUGAGGCUAAGGCGGGGACUUCGAGUCCCUAAAUAAUUGAGUCGUAUGUUCGCGUUGGUGGCUUUGUACCCCACACAACACGGCAUGUAGCUCCGAGGCAACUUGGGGUUAUAUGGUCAAGCGAAUAAGCGCACACGGUGG
rnacentral:tRNA from 1 species